UUUUUUUAAAGAAGUGUUGGCUGGCCUCUAAAACUUAAAUACCACUGGAAACUAAUGCUAAGGGUUGGGUGGUUUUUCUUGUCCUCAUAAAUCAUGUCAUGGAGUUUUUGUUACUCUGCUCUCAUCCUGUGGUAUCUUUCUAGUGCUGAUAACAAGCGCUCAGCCCCUGUCCCCCCCCUUCCCAGAGGGGUGAGUGCGGCCCCCAGCUGCUGGCAGCUCUCCCGCUGCCUGGGCCGGCCCCAUCCCUCCCACAGCUAAAGCUGCUCUUGCCUCUGCAAGCCUUGAAAUCAGCUUUUCACUUAUCUUUAGGGAAACUGAAGUAGCCACUUUGGAGUGGAAACCCCUGCAUCCCUCAUUGUGGAGCUAGGGAUGGCUGGAAAGGGAGACUCUAGCUGCAGGGCUGCCUGGGGGCUUUGCAGUGCUCGUGCAGUUGGGUAUCCCAGGGCACAGCCAAAGGGUCUGUUUGGGGCAAAGGAAUGUGGGGGCUGAGCCCUCCCUGAGGACCCUUUCCUGCCCGUACGUGAGCAGAGAAACCUUCCUGACCCCGCUGUCAGUCCAGUGGACCUGUUGCCAGCCAGGGCUUUGGUUUGCAUCUUUCACUGCUUUUCUGCACCGGAAGAGGAGAAGCAAGCUAAAUAUAUCUAAAUACAUAUGCCCAUUCUCCAGCACCCAGCUCUGAAGUUUUCACUGCUUUUUAUUUGGGCCGUGUAGAGGAGGAGGCGGCCGUGUGCCUUCGUUUCACAUGUGCUGGCGUGAGAUGUUAGAUUUCAGGAGAGCGCAGCCCUCUUCUUGCUUGCACCCAUAAUUCUGGAUCUUUGUGAUAAUGUGGAACAAAUGCUGAAUUCCGCAGCUCACAGUGGAGAAGAGGCAGAGGCCUCUUCUCCACUGUGAGCCUCCCUGUCCCGUUGGCCACAGGCUGCAGUAGCUGUGUGGUGCAGCAGCAUGCGGGCACUGUGGCCGAGGUGAUAGAGAGGGUUCCCAGCGGUCUGGCACACGGGAGCUGCAGUGACUGCUGGUGUCACUGCCGACCUGCUCCUCGUGCAUGCAUAAUUCAGCAGGAAUAAUGAGUUAGUUCCCCUGGCUGCUGUGAAGGAGCGGCUGAUGAAGUGGCCCAUCAUCUCUGCAGCUCGUAGUGCAUCCUGGUGUGAGCAGUGUUCUGCAUCUCUUGGAUUUACUGAGAGCACUGAAACUUCCGAUCGGGCUUUUAUUUCUCUCUUCUCCUUGCAUUUGAUGUGAACUUCAUGCUAACGCGCUGCAGCUCACUUGAUGUUCCUGUCACUCUUUCAGCUUUCACAUCUUUGCCAGAGAGGAGCAAAUCAAUUAGGUCCCUAAAACUUCAAUGGUUUCAAAGCAGUCGCUUGUAAACACAUUACUCAAAGAAGACAAUUAGCAGAAUAUUCAUGACGUAGGCACAAAAUUCAGGUUCAGAUGCCUCUGGUUUAUCUGCCACGCUUUCCCUUUUGGGAGUCUGUAGUUACUGUGAGAGAUUUUAACAUAAAAAAAUGUCUUUUUAAGGAAAGACAUAUCUGUGGAAUAUCUGCCUGAAUUCUAAAUUGCACUUUUUCUGUUUUGCUAAAUACAAUGGUGGUAACAAUCUUUUAUGAUGUUUUAAUAGCAACUGUGAGGGGGGGGGGGAAAGUGACAUCUUUUUUGAUGAUUCAUGCACACGUUCAGAAAAAUACAUAAAUAAGUGGAAAUACAGCAUGCUUUAGGUAUGGCAUCUUAUAGCCAGUGAUUCUUUCAGUAAGGGGUCUGUCUGAGAGUAAUUUUUUAUAAGUCUCUUUGUGAGACAUUCUUUUACCUGACCUCCAAAGGUAAAAUUGAAACUCAAACACGCACGGCAGCUGAGCUGCAGCAUGCACCUGCCCAUCAAUAAGAUACAGCCCAUGUUCUGGCAAUGCAUUGGAUCUCUAAUGUGAUCUUCAGGUUUCCCAAUAGAUUGAACAGAUUCCCAUAGGGUGGGAUCAAUGCUGCCAUAGUGCAAAUCAUGCUAGAUAGCAGUAUGAAUCAGUAAGUGCCACUUAAAUGAUUUCAGAAGGGAAUCUGUCUCUUGAAAUUAACUGUAUUUUGUUGUUAUUAAUUUGUGUAACUGUACAGCUAAGAAUCUGGAGCUUGAUUUUUACAGAAAAUCAUCAAAUUGAUGUUAGAACCACUGCUUCCACUUCCUUUUGAGAGACAAAAUACAAAUUCUAUCUGAGAUUUUGCCAUUAAAUAAAUGAAAGAAUGACUAAAAGGAAAGGGUUUGUUAUUGAAACAUUUUGUUACCAGAACCAUAAAAUAAACUAAUAAACAGAUAAAAAUAAAACAACGGAGGAGAUUUAAUACUAAGAAACCUUCAAAACCUAUCUACCUAUAACCUCUAAACUUAUAAGCCUAUAAUGCUGUCCCAAUGUCUCAGGGUGCUGGCCCACUGCUGUGGCUGCAGCUGCCAUUUGGGCAGUAUGGGGCUGCCCAUCAGUCUGCAUCAACAUAGCUGUUCUGAGCAAUGAGGUUAGGAGGGCCCAAACAUCCUGCUGCUGUGCUGCUUGUGGGAGCAGGGAAGGCUCCUCCUGUGCUGGGCCAGUUGUGUAAAUCCAGGUGCUGGAGAAGCUGGAGAAGUGGCACCCGAGACCUGGCUGUUGCUUGUUGGCAGCAGGGAGGGGAUCAGUCUGGCACUUCUCCCUCCCUGCUGCUGCAGCACAGUCUGGCAGGGUGCAGCAGCACCGGCUUAGAUGUUGUCUUUCUUCGGGCGCUUAAGUGGUGAGGGCCACAUGGGUGCAGCUGUCUCUCUGCCCUCUUCCACUGCCUGCAUGCUCCCUGCUGGCUCACUGCAGCUCCCUGCAUGGCCCGGGCACCUGGGCUGCCACACUGGUGUCUCCCAUUCAGAUCUUGCUGCAGGGCAGGGGCGGCCAGGGCUCCUCUCUUUGGGGCUACUCUUCUCUUACAGUGUUUGAGCAAAUUGAAUAAUCUCACCUGAAGUAUGGGUUGCUAUAGAAGAGUAACUAAAAAGUGCAAAGGAGAAGAGUUAGUUGCUAUUGCUUUGGGACAGAAAGAUGGCAAGAUACAGCAACUUUGAUACAAGACUUUGCUAAAGACAAACAUGGGCAUUAAAAAGGUCUAGUGGUCAGUUUAAUCCUUCAGCUUAGGCUGACUGCAACAAGACACAUUGAAAAUGUGUUGAAAUAAUAGACUCAUCAUGUCUGAUUUAUUUAUCUUUCUGUUGCACAGAUUCAAACUCAGAUACAACCCAAAUGUAUUUUAUCCAUAGUUCAGCUACUCAACAGUGCUACCUCUAAAAUACCUGGCAACAGCCAGAGAAAGAAAUGAGGAUCAGAACAUUUACAGCCCUCCUCAUCUCUAUUACUAAGGUUUAUUCUAUUGGAGCCUGCAUCCCUCCCACCAGAAUAUUGUGAGAGUUGAUUUAUGUGAGGAUCAACUGAUACGCCUUCCUACAGGCAGCAAGUGCUUCCUGCUCCGUCAGGAAUUCAGGAACGAAUAUAGAUUGAGCUGACGAAAGAAGCUGCUCAUUUUUCCUGUUCAGAAUGCUCUCAAAGAUCCUCUCAUUCCCAAUACUUCUGCCUCAAACUCUUCCUUAUCAAUCACGAUACAGUUUUCACCAUAAGCCCACCAGACCAUCUCAAAUUGAUCGUUCUCAGCCAUCAGCCAGAGUUUUUGUGGAAAGCUGAGAUCUGCGAAGGUGUUGAGGUGACACUCCAUGGAAGAAUUAUCAGGUAAACAGUUGGUUUUGUCUUUGCCAGCAUAACAUUGUGAAUUCCUUCAUUCCUUCCUGUCUUGAGGUUACAACAGCAUUGCAAGCUGUGCCUUGUUUCUGUCCUGAAGGAGCAGGAGAAGAGGAGCUUGAGACCUCAGACCUCAGACAUCUCUGGAUCAGAAAGGAAUGUUUCUUCUUCAGACGGCUCAAUUUUAAUUUUUCUUAUCUCAGAUUGUCAGGAGUUCUCACGUAGAGCUACUCCUGCCAUGAGCUAGUCUUUGCUUUGCCAGUCAGCAGUGAAGUCCAACUGUACUGUCCAGGGAUUCUGUUGGGAGAUGCUCACAUGUUACCAUGAUGCCCUCAUGUCGUCACAGUGACAUCACAGUAUGGUGUCCAAGGUCUGGCAGAAGAAGCAGCCACAGCUGGUGGCACUGACCAGCACUUGUUGCUGGUUCUGCACAGAGCCACGUGUGCUUAACUUGAGUCAAGGAGCAAAUAAAACUGUACUGAAAGGAGAUCACCCUUCAGCUAGACCUUGCUUCCCCUUCCCUGUGUUCCCUGAAUAGCUCCAUUCCAGCCUCCUUGGUGUCCCUGUGGUUCUCCAGAUGGGAAGGAAAUCAGUUUCCCAGGCAGUGGUAACAAGAGAAAAUAGCAGUAUCUUCCCAGUUUGUUACCAUUUCUUGUAAAUGCUCUGUGAUUUCAAUAGCACAGCUUCUGCAAGGGAAUAGCUGUGUACCCGAGUGAUGCCCUGUUAUGACAGCAGUCUCUCAGACGCUGCUCUGUAGGUCCAACCAGAAGAAGACACCAAGUAUGUUUUGCUGAUGGCAUAGACAGGAGAUGUGCAAUCCCUCUUUGGUUCCUUUUAUUUGAUAUUUUAGAAAUAUAGGAAAUAAGAAAACAAAGUCAGUUAUGUUCUUUAAGCCUUUUAGAUUACACUCUUCUCUACAGGAUCAGGUGCUUAAUCUGUAAAGGAAAGGCUUGUUCUGGAACUCGUGUCUGGAUGCAGUGUAUGCUAAGUUUGAGGACCACAGCUUCCCAGGGCAGCAGGCACAGCCCUGAGCUGCUAGAGCUUAGUGAUCGUUUGGACUCUGCUCUCAGAGAUAGGGUUUGGGUGAUUCUACAUGGAGCCAGGGGUUGGACUCGAUGACCACUCAGGAUCCGUUCUGAUUUGAGAUGUCUGCAUUAUACCAGUGUUUUCCUAAAAACUGGAAGUGACACUUAGCCUUAUAUUAUUUAACUAAAAGCAGGUGAUGUGACCUUUUGGAAGUCAAGCAGGACAGUUUCUUAUCUGUCUGAGGGUAAGCUGGGAGGAUGGCCACUGGCAUAAGGAGGACUGCAGUGAUGACGUAAAGCUCCCAUCAUUUUGAAAACCUGGGGCAAUGUUUACUUGAAAACUCAAUCUGCCAGCACUGUGCUGCAGCCUGGAGCCCAGGAUGUAUUGCUGCUGAGACCAACGUACAGCAAAGAGUUGCUCGUCCUCUUUCCAUCUCCCUGGUUUCAGAUAGAAGUUGCUUUUCCCCUGCUCUGUUUGGGACCCAUCCUCAGUGCCUCUCCAGCAGUUUGUUUGCUGCUCAGCUACAUCCAGGCUGCCCUUGCUCCAGGUUGUGCUGGUGGGACAGUGCGUUCUGGGAGGAUGGGGCCAGUUUUGAGAUAGGCAGCGCACUGCUCCCUGCAGCCAUAGUGUUGCCGUAGCCCUUGCUGUGUCUGAAGCCCUAUCUGUGGUCUUGGGCCUGCACGUCAGGAACCCACUGCCCUGACAGGAGCAGGCAGAGAGCUCUGGGCAGUGUUAGGGGACUUGUGCCCCUUUUCACAGCUCACUUGUAGGGUCGGGAUGUGAUUUGUUGUAAACAGUGGAACUACUGGAAAUCCAUUAUGUGGAUUACAUCUUCUGAGUAGGACGUGGUUGUGUUAUGGGUUUUGUAGGAAACUGACUUCGAUAUAAGUUUUAUUUAUGAAGUUUGAUGGAAAAACUGAGCAGCAUGUUUUCUGGGUCAUCAUGGCAGUGUUAAGCUGCUUUCCACUUUUAGUACCCUGUAAAUAAAAACCUAGCAACCUAUUCUUCAUUCUUUGGAGCCCCACCAGGCCUGCUGCACAAUGCCCUGCCGUGUUGUGGGUGCACUUUGUCCUCAGCAUUUUUGGCUCACUGCUGUUGGGAGCUGGCAUGGAGGAUGGAGAGAGCACCUGGAGCAGGCAGCAGCAGCAGCAGCCCUCUGUUCCCUUGAAGACAGCAGGUCAGGAGGGAUGAGAAUGAGUGCUUCUCCCCAGAACGUCACAGGCAUCUUCCUGCAGGGGUGUGCAAUGUGCUCCGACUGACAGACGUACUUCUGGAAACAGUGGAGGCGGAUGUGAGCAUCCUCAUCGCGGUGUCCAAGUGCUGCUCCUCAUCCAGAUAAGCAGCUGUGAGGUUUUAACAGAAACAAGAGCUUUCAUCUUCCUUCCUCUUCCUGACAGCAACAUUCCCAUUAAAACUUUCUCAAAAAGUUCAGCCUCAGGCAGACACCUGGCUUGGGGAAAAAAACUCAAUGUGAUUGACUGCAGUUGUGCAGUUCUAUAAGUCCCUGAAAACAGAGGAUUUUAUCAGGAAUUAGACUUUAUAAAAAUCCUAUUGAGGCUUCAGUUUCUAAUUCUUGCUGUUGGGGAUGGGAGACACAAACAAACCAGCAUUUAGCAUAUAGUAUGUGCAGCAUUUAGUGCCUUCUGAAAGAUUUCUUUAAUACCGAGCCUGACUGGAAGUAGGUCAAUAGAAAAAGGAGUAAAUCUUAUUUGCAAAAAGGCAUUAGGAGCUCCAUUGUGCAUAAAUCCAAUUGCCACUGAGCAGAGAUCCUAAAAACAUCAGGAAUUGGAGUCUUGGAUCAAACAGUUUUGCACAGUGUCAUUGGUGAAACAUCCCCACUAUUUCUCGCCUUCCUUGCACUGCUCUUCCUGUGGUGCAGUGGGGUGGCUGUGCCCGUCCUCCUCUCCUGUAAGGCUGCUGCAAGUGGACUUGCUUGUGCUGCUGUUUUCUUAUGGAAUCUAUAGGAUUAUUGCUGCCAUGACCAGCAAAGCCCUGCUUGGGGACAUCAAGCGUAAGGCUCCCUUCUGGAAAUGAAAACCUGCUGCUGACGAUGCCAGUGGCAUUUGGAAAAGUCAUCACCAUGGUUUUAAGGUUAGAAACCCUUGAAGUCCUUCCAGCUUGGGCCAAUGAAAAGGCAAACUCACAAACUUGCAACUCUUGCUCUUUUUCUUAAUAAUAGGAGGAAAAAGGUCUCAGUGAAAUAGCGCUUCACCAAUGAAAACUGAACUCGUCUUUGUUUCUUACUAAAGAAAAUAGGAAACCCUCUGAAAGCUUUUCAGAAAACAUAGUCUGAGUGUGGCCAACCAGAAAUGCCAGCAAAUCCCAGCUCCUCAAAGGAAGCUCUUCAGUCUCCGAUAAAUUUUUUGAAUACCAGGUCUCCACAAAGAGGCAAAGCAAAACAGCUCACGUUAAGUAUGGUGGUGAGCUGUAUUGACGAACACAUUGAGAAGCUGUCGGUGUGGGGUGACAGGGCUGUGCCCCGGCUGUGUGGUGCCCUGCGGGACUGCUGGAAACACCAUCAGCUGUGCAGCUCCAUGUCCCCAGCCUGCAGGGCUGCCAUCCUUUGCGGCUGUGGGGCUCUCUGGUGCUGGGGCUGUGUGCCUGAUCUCUAUGCAGUUCUGGGAAGCACCCUGGCUUUGUGCUGGAGGGUGUGCGGCUGUGCUGUGCUUUGCUGACUGCCGGCUGCUGUCGAGCCUGUGUCCUCGAUUCACCCCAAAGCCGUGCUGGGGAAACCAAGAGAAACCUUGCUGCAGGAGAGAUGCUUUUCUCUCACUUUAAUAUCUUUUAUUAAAUAGCUUGCAUAUCUUGUUUUCAUGCUGGAACGUAUAUUUUUGGGUGUCACUGUACAUUGGGUGUACUUAUGAGGCAAAGAAGGAAGAAGUAGGACUGUACUGUGAUGUAGAAAUACUUUGCAUCCUCCACAGCAUAAGAAGGGGCUGAGGCAUGAUGGAGGUUGAUAAAACUUGGCAAAUCUAUCUGGGGAUGGGAGCGAGAUGGUCUGGGGCUGUGCACUGGAGCCCUGUCACUGCCAUGCGUUUGCUGAAGCCGGUGCUGGUCAGUGCCAGUCCUCCACCCCUGCUAUGCAGCCUCGUCUUCAGGAGCUCUGCUGGAAGGUCUCCCUGUUCCCCUUACAUGGGGUCGGCGGACAGGUGCCAGUCACAGUUUGAGGAUCCAUCUCUGUUGUUCCAUGUGUUUUUUACCAGCCACCGUUCAGAGCCCAUUCGCACGUUUGAAGAAUGAGCAGAGACUUGAAACAGCCAGUAAUGGAUUUUUCUCUGUGCUUUAAUCACUUAUUAUUAAUAUAUACUGUGUCUUUUGGAUUAUACACAGCAGAAAUGAGAGCUGAGCAAAAUCAGAAUGAUAAAUACUUUACCAUAACCAAAAUACACAGAAGACUUGUCUCUGUGCUCUCUUGGUUAGCCACUUUGCACGAGGUAUUCCCACAGUGCAAUUUGUUCUCUGCAGUCGCUUGGCUUAGCAGUAUUAGCAGAGGGUGAAGCAAUGAUUGUCAAUGACAGGUAGAUUAAUUUCCCAUAUGGUUUUGUUGCCUAUUAGAAUUUAUCAGCUGCCUCUCCUCCUCAGGGACAAACCCGGCCUGGCCGCCCAGGUGACCUGCCAGCGUGUCUCUAUUAUCAGCAGAGGUUGCGCUCUAUUUACAGUCUAACUUAUUCCAAAUGUCACUUCCAAACGAUCCAGUGCAAAGUGCUUACAGAUGCCUGAACUGAGGAGAACGGCAAGGGAAAGGAGAAAGGGCAUUCCAUGAGUCCAUCUCGUCAGGAAGUUUUGUCACGUUGCCAAAACCCCAGCGCACGGACUUGCCAAACUCGAUUUCUUUCACCCUCUAAAUCAGUUCAGUAUGCGGUGCAGGAAAGCAUCGGCACAGCGGUGUCCUUGAAGGAGCGAGCACGGCUCACUUGCUGUUAAUUACAAACAAUGAAACAGAUGGGGGGGCUUGCUGUGAAAUGGAAAGCACGUACCUACUGCUGCAGAGCCGAAGCCAUGGCUGCCCGGAGCUGCCCACAUGGGGCAGGGACACGGCCUCUCCCCAGGCUGUGUCCCGCACCAUGCCCAGCCUGCAGCAGGGCUGGCUGCUCCCUAGGACCUCCUGCUCCCCAUCCUCUUCCAGCAGGUCUGUGACUCAGUGCUGCACAGAGCUCCUGGUGUCCCCGCAGCCUGCAGCCUGACCUCGAGCACACUCGGAUGCUCCUCGCAGUCUGCUUUGUGCCUGCUGGGAGUUCCAAGAGCGGAAGGGGUAGCUUAUCUGUCCCGUCCCCUCCCACUUUUAUUUCCUCUUUUACUGCUACUUAAGAGGUGAGGUAAAUGUGACUUCCCAGUCUUGUUUAGAAAAUCUUUGUGGAAUUCUUCUCUUGUCUGUAUAUGAGACAUUGCUAUUUACUUCACUUUUUAGAUAUCUAACUAGAUCUAAUAUCCUAGAUAUUAGAUAUCCUACUAUUUGAGUCAUUGGUGGUUCACUGAUGCUCAGGUCCUUGCAAGAACUGUCAGAGCAAGACAGUUUCACCGAUGUGCUUGCAGUGAGACCAGCUGCACGAACCUGUUCAACCAGGCAUUGUGUACGAGCACCACUUGCAGUGCCCACAGUGGAAUUGAACCCACAGGCCUGUGUGGCCAUAGAGGAGUGACUGAAACCCCCCAGUGGCCUUAACAUCUCUGCUCUAAUGUCUGCUAAUGAAGUAGAGGAUGGCAAGAGCAGUGGUGGGAGUAGGGGUACUCAGUCUGUCUGUGCCAGGAUUCUGUGAGAAUAUCAAGGCCUGAAUUUAAUAUAUCAUUUUUAUGCACAUGGACACACAAUACUAAUUUAUACUGUAACGGUCAUUAGUAAAUCCUUAGAUGUAUACAGGCCACACAGACCAUUGAAGUCUCAGCUCUGCUCUUCUGUGUGGAAAUGCACAGCUCCUUAUGAGCCUCAGCUGAUCUCUGGCCAUCCCUCUAGUGUCCAGGUGUAGUGUAUGAUUCUUUGCGACAGUCCGUACAUCACUGACGGGCACUUCAAAAGACAGCUAAAUCUAUCCUGGCAGACCUCAUAUCUCAUUCUACAGUGUCAUUUUCUGUGCUAGACAACCACACGUUUUCCUAACCUCUCAAAGCAUUCAGGCUCAUGCUCAUGGCAUCCACGCAUGCCUUGCAUUCACACCACCACCUCUGCUGCCCACAGGGCUGCACAGAGCUCCAGCAGCAGCAGGUGAGGCACAUCUCUCUGAGCUCCCCAUUGUGGGGCCAGUGCAAGUCCAUCUGAUAUCUUAAGCCCCGUGUGUGCAUUUUUCCCCUGUGACUUGGGCUGACUCAUGGGCUGCAGCUUCCUCCAAUGCUGUGCAGCAGCAGCAGCUUGCCGGCUCCCUGGAAGGAUGCCUGGUGGCAGUGUGCCCUGUGGGCAGGUCCUGGCCAGCCCCAGAGCAUCACGCUGAGCACCCCGGUGGUGGAGGGCUGCUGCUGGAAAGGGUUUGCUGUUUGGGUCAGUGUCUCAGGGCUGGGAAGCCAGCCCUUAGCUGUGCUUUGCUAUCCUGACUCUAUGGGCUUCUCUUUCACAAGUCCUGAAAGCAGAGACCGGAUCUGUGAGACCCUGCUCAUGUUUGCAGAAGUACAUUUGGGCUCUUUCCUCUGUUCUCAUAUGCAACUGUUCAGCUGGCCAAAGGCUGCGGAAAGUUUCUGGAGAGCACCAGAGAGAAACAUCCCAUCUGGGGCUGGGAGGUGAUGCUGCUGCUUGGCCUGGGCUGGCCAGGAGCAUGGCGGGCACUGCUGGGAGCCACUCUGUGACGACAUGGCAGCGAUGGGAGCUCAAGCCACAGCUGGUGAGGAAAGAUGCAGCAGUAACUUGUGACAGUGCUCCUGGAGAGCAGCGCAGUAAGCCGGGCCCUGGGGACCACCAGCAUCCUUGCCUCUGCAUCACCCCAUCCAGCACUGGAAAGCACUUCUGUAGGCAAGGAGGUAUCCAUCUUCCAUACUGUUGAGUACUCAAGAAGGUCACUGACUUGCACUGUUAUUCUGAAGGUCUCCAUAUCCAUGUGACAUGUGCAGUCUGUAUCUGUCUGUAUCUACAGACAUUAGAGGUACCAACUCCUACUUUACUGUUAUUUGUUUACUACUUCAUCAGUUUGCUUAGAUUCUCUAGAACUCAAGAUAAUCUAAUUUAAAGUCUGAAUCCCCAUGAUUUCACACAAAAAUGAAAUUUUUUGGAGGCCUAAAUGCUCCAUUGUGUGCAUUAUUUCCAUUGGAUUGAGAGCAGAUUGAAAACUGGAAGGGUGGACAUUUGCAUGGUCCAAGAAAUGAACUAGCACUGGAUUGUUCUUUUCCCUUCUGAGUUAAGCUGACAGCAGCCAUAACAUCAAGGCUGAAAAGUUUAUUUACUAUGUAAAGGCCAUAUUUUCCCUUGUUAUCCCAGCUCUUUCUGGCUUGCAUUGCUUGGCAAUAUCCCCUCAACCACUAACACCCAGAGGCGUGGCACUAUGAUGGGAUGAAAAAUGAACAUGAAGAAGAAUAUUGAAGAUUUAAGUGGGUAUGGUUCUAAGAAAACCAGUGGAAAACAUGUUUACUCCAAGCAUCUGUAGCACCUAAUUGAGGCAGUGAUAUUUUCUCUAAGAGCACAGGGAAUGAUUUUCUACUUUCUCUUUGGAUUUGAAUUUUGCUUUGCAUCAAUGUGACAUAAUCCAUGGAAUUAUUUUCUUACAGCUGCUUUGGAAACUUUCUGCCCAUACACAAGGAUAUGCUAAUCAGGGUGAAAAAGCUUGCAGUCAUUCAAGCUCUGCUGAUUUCUAGACUCUUUGUUAGGAACUGUUGCUUCCUCUCAAUUUACAGAAAUCUAGUGCUCAGUAAACACUAUUAUUUUUGAGCUAUUAAUGUUGCUAUAAAUUUGAAUGCUAGAAAGAAGGUGGCAGAUUGUGAUUAAAAUGGAACUGAUCUA